CCGCCACUCCACCGAUGCUCCUCGUGCCGCUCCACGCCGACACCGACGGUGCCAGCGAUGAACCAUCCCGCUCCAGGGCCCUCCCCGUCUAUCCCUUGUCAGAUCCCUCCCCAUCUGCCCCACGCCAUGCCCCUCCCCAUUCAGUUCCCCCCUCAAGCUACGGCGGCCCAGUCCUACGGUCCUGCCCCUCGAGCUGAGGCGACAGUGGUGGUGGCGGGACAGACAACCGGCGGCGGGAACAUAUCCAGCUCCAUCUGACGGGGAGCCAAGGUGAGAUCCAGGAGGCGAUGACACCGCCACAGACCCAGAGUACAAGGGUGCCCCUUGCAGCUGGCCCCAAAUGUCCGCCAGCUGCUCCACACCGUCAGUACCCUGGUCGCGGCCGUCUUCUCCAUCCGUGAGGAUUUGGUAAACGAGAACAAGCAAUUUGAUCCUGUAAUUUCUUGAGUCACUACAUCUCCCACUUGAUCGACGCCGAUGCCACGGUCCUCAAGCAGAACAUGCAGAGGUGAUGGACUGUGUACUACUGUAUUUUCGGAAAUGCGUGUACACAGAAUUGGAUUCUGAAGUAGCGAUGGAGGUGAAGAUUGUGUGCUUUUAUGCAAGAUUACUACUAGUAGAUGGUAUAGUGUUUUUGCUUCGGAUUUAGGAGUGUUUGAUCGGCUACAUAGUGAAUUUGUUCAGUCUCAAAUUUUCAGUGUUAUUACUAGCAUAUUCUCCAAUUCUUGGUAUUAUUCAACAUCAGCUCUGUCUCAAUUCUUUAUCACAUCUCAUAUUGAAGUGUGGAUCAUUUAAUUGCCUAAAAUGGUCUUGCCUUUUGAGUGUUUUUAUUUUACAUUGCAUGCAAAAGGAAGUUUAUUGAGAGAAAUUAGCUUUAAUUGAUGAAGAAAGUAUGCCUCUAGUAUUACUUUUUUCAUGUUUUAUUAACUAUGAACUACAUUGUACUGUAUGGAAUCAUCUAUUUUGAUAUACAAGCCCUGUCACACGCAUAUAAACUUGAUUUUGUUGUUGUACUUGAUGAAUAUGGAAUGAUGUGUCCUUCCUUUGUUCCUAAUAUUAUAACUUUUUGGAUUCAUUUGGGAGCUAGCUUUUAUAACUUACUACAAUUUUGUAUGUGUUUUUAUUCUAUGUAGGUUUGGCAGUUAAUCCGUGUUAUUGGAGAUUGAAGAAUAUUAACAAGAAUUAUUUGUGUCCGACUAGCUGCCUUGAAGCAGUGGUGUAGUGUUGGAGAUUAAAAUGAGCUAGUAGUACAUUUUCUUUGAGGUCAUGUUACUUGAUUUUUGUAAAAAAAAUGCAUA